CACUCGGCUCUCAGUGGAAUGAGUUUGACACGUGUCCUAUGGCAUCGCUCUCAAGAACCUUAUUUGGUUCCAUCAUGCACCUUUAUUUUUUAGAAUAUAAGUACAGAUCUAGGAUAAUCUUCCUCUCCCCCAAUCCUAACCUUAACCAUUAGUGGGGGAAAUGCAAAACUGACCCAAGAUCAGCAUCUAGGCUAGGGGCAACUACACCCUACAGGCUCACAUCCCGGGGUAUAUUUUUGUUACAGGAUGCAGGUGAAAGUCAGAGACAUGAUGGUGAAUCCAGAGAAGAGGAGCAAGUGCACAGGGAACAUAAGGGGUUGGACAGAGAGAGGGAGGAAGAGAGGGAUAAACAUCGAGAGAGGAGGCACAGAGAAAGAGCUGACCCUGAGAGGGAUCCCAAAGAACAGACCAGCGCCAAGAAAUCAUCAUCCUCUGACCUCAGAGUUCACAAGGAAAAGACAGAGCCUGUUAAAGCUAAGGCAGUAGUGAUGCGAUCUGAGUCACCCUGGAGGUCUAGUCAGAAACAAUUUAGUGACACAGAGGAGCCCAUAACACUUGAUGAUGGGGUUUUUCUCAGGGCCAUAUCUGUCUGCCGUCAACCCCUCUGCUAGCAUGAGAAUAGAGCAUGCCUAUUUAUUUUGGACCAUGGCUGUUUAUGACGUGCCCAAUUCAGACCAGGACCAUUGUAUGUUGAAUUCGGGACUGUCAAAAUUGAUUGAGGCAUUUGGUAUUGAUUUCAGUGCAACUAACAUCAGAUAAGUGGAUAAACAUUGUCUAUAGACAUACAGCAUAGAGUUCUCUACUCUUUCCUGAUAUUUUUUCUUUAUUCACUGGCAAAUGUUUGCAAUGGCACCUUCUGUUGGUGGCUUCAUUGCUUUGCUUGCCUUCACUUGCUCCUGCUUGUUGUAUGGUAAUGUUCACAUGGAUACACUUUUUACUGUAAACACUGUAUAUUUGUCUAUGUACUUAACUAACAGUGGUGCGUUCAGUACGAGAGAAUGGUGUUCAAUGUUUAAUUCAAAGGAAACUGUAGUGUACUGUUUGGACUAAUGUAUCCAAACAAUUUUGCAAAGAGUUUCUAUUUGGACAAAUUCAGGUAGGUCACUCCCCGUUUAGUUCUGUUUGCUUUCGAAAAGUUUUGCAAAAUCAGUGGAAAAAUUACACCCCAGACCGACCAGUUGAAGAACAGCGUGAUUAUGAUGGCCCAGAGGGUGAUUGUGUAUGGUGUGUUGAAUAAGCUUGGUGAUUUCAAAUGGUCACACCCAUACUGACCAGGCCACACCUCACAACACCCACAAAACAAGAGCAAACGUAACUCAAAGUGAGAAUGAGCACCGUUUUGGGGAAACGUGUCAUUUAGUACAAACCGUCACGUAAAGUAGUUAACGUUGAACGAAACUGAAUGCCUACAAAAUGGUGAUCUAUUGCUCAGAUUUUUGACUUAUUAAAAUACGUAAGUCUAUG
rnacentral:lncRNA from 1 species